AGAAGUUAGUUAAAAAUAACAUUAGUAUGUCAAACUAAAAUUAUUAAUACAAUUAAUACUUCUUUA
rnacentral:tRNA from 1 species